AUUGAACGCUGGCGGCAGGCCUAACACAUGCAAGUCGAACGAGUGGCGGACGGGUGAGUAAUAUCUGGGCAACUGCCCGAUGGAGGGGGGUAACUACUGGAAACGGUAGCUAAUACCGCAUACCAUCGGAUGUGCCCAAAUGGGAUUAGCUAGUAGGUGGGGUAACGGCUCACCUAGGCGACGAUCUCUAGCUGGUCUGCUAGGAUGACCAGACACACUGGAACUGAGACACGGACCAGACUCCUACGUGAGGCAGCAGUGGGGAAUAUUGGACAAUGGGAGAAAUCCUGAUGAAGCGAUGCCGCGUGGAUGAAGAAGGCCUGAGGGUUGUAAAGUACUUUCAGAGAGGAGGCGUUAAUCGCAGAAGAAGCACCGGCUAACUCCGUGCCAGCAGCCGCGGUAAUAC
rnacentral:rRNA from 1 species